rnacentral:rRNA from 1 species
AUGUCCUCCGACCUUGCCUUCUCGGUCACGAAUAUUUACGCCCCUUCCGACCACUCUUUCACCCAAGCUUUCAUUGAUGAGAUGUUUGCCAUCUCGGCAUCCAUUUCCAGAGCCUGGCUUGCUCUUGGAGACUUUAAUCUUAUUCGGUACCCACACGAGAAAAACAACACCAACUUUUGCGCCUCCCUUGCAUCUCGCUUUACGCCCUUGAUCAACGCCCUUUCAUUCGUAGAGCUCCCCCUCUCCGACCGCUUGUUCACAUGGACGAACCGGCGCACGCCGCCAACCCUUGCCCGUCUCGACCGGGCGUUCUUCAACGCUAGCUAG